rnacentral:rRNA from 1 species
UAGGGAAUCUUCCACAAUGGGCGAAAGCCUGAUGGAGCAACGCCGCGUGUGUGAUGAAGGGUUUCGGCUCGUAAAGCACUGUUGUAAGAGAAGAAUGACAUUGAGGGUAACUGUUCAAUGUGUGACGGUAUCUUACCAGAAAGGAACGGCUAAAUACGUGCCAA